rnacentral:rRNA from 1 species
AUUGAACGCUGGCGGCAGGCCUAACACAUGCAAGUCGAACGAGUGGCGGAGGGGAGAGUAAUGUCUGGGAAACUGCCUGAUGGAGGGGGAAAACUCCUGGAACCGGUAGCAAAUACCGAAAACCUUCAGAUUUGCCAAGAUGGGAUUAUCUUGUUGGUGGGGUAACGGCUCACCACGGCGACGAUCCCUAGUGGGUCUGAGAGGAUGACCAGCCACACUGUAACUGAGACACGGUCCAGACUCCUACGGGAGGCAGCAGUGGGGAAUAUUGCACAAUGGGCGCAAGCCUGAUGCAGCCAUGCCGCGUGAAUGAAGAAGGCCUUCGGGUUGUAAAGUACUUUCAGCGGGGAGGCGUUACCCGCAGAGGAAGCACCGGCUAACUCCGUGCCAGCAGCCGCGGUAAUUC